rnacentral:rRNA from 1 species
UGAUUAAAUAAGAGGAGGGUGGUAGGUGUGGGGUAAGGUGAAUUAUUAAUUGGUUAUGUGAUUUACUCCAAAAAUAAAAAAGUGAAAUUUAAUAUUUAUAUAGAGCAGGUUGCUUAAUUUAUCAUUGAAGCCUGUAAGGAGUUGAAUUAAAAUAGGAUUAGAUACCCUGCUAUACUACUUUGAAAUUAAUUAGCACCGGGGUAGUAACAGUUAUUUUCUUUAAACCCAAAGAACUUGGCGGUAUCACAUUCUUAUUAGAGGAACCUGCUUCAGAAACGAUAACCCCCGAAAUACCUUACUUUUUUUAGUAUUUCAGUUUGUAUACCGCCAUUAUUAGAUUGUUUCGAGAGAAAACUAUUGUAAUUGUUUUAUUAAUAUGUAUAUUAGGUCAAGGUGCAGCUUAUAAAAAAGUGUAAGUGGGUUACAAUUAAUUAAGUUAUUGGCUAAAAGAGUGAAACCCUUUUAAAAAUUGGAUUUAAUUGUAAUAUCAUUUUAUUAAGGUGAUUUGAUAUUAGCUCUGUGAUAUGUACACAUCGCCCGUCNCUCUCNUCUUAAANU